rnacentral:lncRNA from 1 species
ACCAUCAUGUUACCAUAUUCUUGCCAAAAAAAAAAAAAAAAAACACCAGAGUCGUUACAUGAAGUAUCUUUGAUCACUGAAUUUCCAGCACUUCUUUGUUGUGUCUAGAUGCUAAGCCCUUUUCUAAUUUGAAAAAAAAAAAACAAAAAACUGGAGACCUGAUUCUGUUUAUCUCUUGUAGUUUCUCUUAUCUCUGUUUCUAACCACUCUAUGUAGUGCCUCUUUUUUUCUGUCUACACACACACGGAGCAUCCACCAUACCAAUAAUCACAGUAUGUGGUAAUGAAAAGUGGAAGGGAAAAAUGGCCCUUGCUUCUCACAGACAAACUCACUAUCUCAAUGGAUCAUUUUUGUUUUUUUGUUUUGUUUUGUUUUUGAGACAGUCUCACUCUGUUGCGCAGGCUGGAGUGCAGUAGUGCAAUCUUAGCUCACUACAACCUCUGCCCCCGGGUUCAAGCAAUUCUCCUGCCUCAGCCUCCUGAGUAGCUGGGAUUACGGCACCUGCCACCAUGCCCUGCUAAUUUUUGUUUUUUUAGUAGAGAUGGGGUUUCACCAUGUUGGCCAGGCUGGUCUCGAACUCCUGACCUCAAGUGAUCUGCCCGCCUCGGCCUCCCAAAGUGCUGAAAUUACAGGCAUGAGCCACAGCGCCCCGCCUCAAUGGAUCCUGAUGAGCUACGCAAACCAUUAUUUUUAUGUCUUUAUGAAUGCCACCAGAAAGUUUCAUUUUGUUCUUUCUGAAAACAACCAUGAUUAUAAGAUGUCUUCUGAAACACGGAAGUGAGAGAACAUGUUGUACAGAGAAGCAUGCAUCCCUCUGCCCUGCCACCACUGCACCUAUGCUAAGCAUAUUAUAGACAGAAGGAUGUCCAUCUGCCUAUGUAAGCUCUUGCCCGUUUAUUCUUGGGCUCUGUCCAGGCUGUGACCCUAUUACUCCUUUGCUCCUUCAUUUGAGGACUAUGACUGUGAACUGUAUUUCUUCCUCUCUGCACCUAUAUAGGCUACAGGAGGAAGUAACAAAAAUCUUCCCCCACACCCAGAGCUAAAUAUUUUUUGCCCCAAGCUGAAAGUUCUCUAGUGAAAAUGCAGUUCAAGGCCAUAGAUGCAGGAGAGAAGUAGAUUUGUUGGCUUCUAAAAGGAAUAUUUAUACAGUUUUGUCUAACAGCACCAUCCUAACAGCAUUCUGAUUUGUUUUAUUUUCCAUUUUUAAUACCUUUGUUGAUGUGUAAUUUACAUACAGUAAACUACACACUUAAUGUAUACAAUAUUAUAAGUUUUUAUGUACAUGUGUACUCGAGAAACCAUCACCACUAUCAAGAUAAUAAACAUCCAUCACCCCUUGGAGAAAUCACGUUGCAAUCCCUCUCUUGUGCCCCUACCUACAUUCUCCGUUCUAAGGAACUGCUGAUCUUCUUUCUGUCUCUGUAGAUUAGUUUGCAUUUUCUAGAAUUUUAUAUAAAUGGAGCCAUAUAAUAUGUACUCUUUUUUUGGUCUGGAUUCUUUCCAUCAACAUAAUUAUCUUGAGAUUUAUCCAUUUUUUGCAUGUUUCAAUAGUUUAUGCCUUUUUAUUGCUCAACAGUAUUCCAUUGUAUGUAUAUACCACAGACUGUUUAUCCAUUUGCCUGUAGAUGGAUAUUUGGGUUGUUUCUAGUUUUGUUGUUGUUGUUGUUGUUGUUGUUACCAAUAAAGCUGCUGUGAACAUUUGGCACCAGUC